GCUGUGGCUUAGUUGGUAAAAGCACCGGACAAGCGAUAUGAAGUUGUGGGUUCAAAUCCCAUCAGAACCA
rnacentral:tRNA from 1 species